UGGACAGAUUAUUGUAUUCGACUGUAUUUACGGCGUGAAAUAGGGGAUUACACUGUUUUUAAAACGGAAAGUGAAUCAAUUAACAUAAAAGACUCCA
rnacentral:pre_miRNA from 1 species